CGGGGUGCCCCUGGCUCCUCAGCCCCUGGGUUUGCAGACCGGAGAACAGGGCUGCUGCCAGCGAAGUGGGCGGGGGUGGGGGGGGGGGGUGGGGGUGGGGGUGGGGGUGGGGGCAGGGUAGCUGUUAACUGCUAGACUUGGGCCUCUCGCCCAUUUGACAGCUGCAUUUUUAAUUCUCUUUUGGAAUAUUCCUUCUGUGUUGCAGUUUCACCGUAGCCUGAGAGCCAGCUGGAUAAACUGCUAGGGACACAGGAUUCCCGAGUGACAGCGCAGGGCAGCAGUGCUGUCGCGGUGUCCUGUUCACAUCACACCGGGAGGGAGCCGCAGGUUUCCUGGAACCUAUUUACUCUUGAAACCAUUCAGGAAGAAUCCAGGCAAUUAAAAGGGAGCCUCAUUUUCAGUGUGACCUUGGAUCUAUUGCUUGACCUUCCAACACCGGAGGCAAUGCAAAUGAGUAUCAAAUUGUGUCAAAACAGGGUCUUACUGGAAAACAGAUGUUGUGUCCGAAUUUUUCUGCAUGUUGGGGAGCUGAAUUUGCAAAGGUAGCUCCAAGUCAACCUGUUAAUAAUGCUGACUU
rnacentral:lncRNA from 13 species